rnacentral:sRNA from 1 species
GUUAUACCUCUCCGCUUCUAA